UAUGGUCAUAUUACUUAUGAUAGUUUAGAGAUAUAUAUUACUUUCGCCCUACUGCACAUUUUUCUCUUAUCUAUUUUUCUUAUGGUCAUAUUACUGUCAUGCUUCUACCAUUUACCAUCAUAGUCAUUAUUGGAAUGCAAUGGAAGGACACUUACCUCAAAAUAAUAAAAUAAAAUUUGUGAAACUACCAAGUGUCUUAAUUUAAUGUUUCACCAACCUAUAUAAUGAUCAUUCUAUGCCAUAUCAUUAAUAAUCCUGUGUCAAUAAUCAUUCUAUAAUACCAAUUACUGUAACCGACUGUAACCUCUUAUUCGUGGAAAGUUCUGAGUUUAAAAGUUACUUUAAUCAAUUAAAAAAUAUGGAAGUGGGUGAAUUGCUGAAUUAUAAGCCUCCGCAAGCUUUAAAGCGCCCAGGUAAUGCUGGUGACGAUGCAGAAGAAGACGAACAUGAAAAACAUAAAAAAAUGCGAAAAAUUGCUCGAGCCAAAGCUAAUCAAAUGGUAAGACCUCCAUCUCCAACACCUUCUGUUCAAACUUUGGAUGAGAUAUCUGAAGAAGAAAGACAAGAGAUCUUAAAAUUUGUAGAAACUGAACAGACUGAGGGCGAAGUUAUUGAUGAAACUGCAAUUAAAAGAAUCAUUCUGAAUUUUGAAAAGAGAAGCCUUAAGAACCGAGAGAUGAGGAUAAAAUUUCCAGAUGCACCGGAAAAAUUCAUGGAAAGUGAAGUAGAGCUUCAUGAAAUUCUUCAAGAGAUGAGAGUGCUAUCAACAGCACCUGAUUAUUAUCCUCUUUUAGUUAAACUUAGAAUAGUCCCAAGUAUUUUAGAGCUUUUGUCUCAUGACAACAGUGAUGUUGCUGUUGCAGCAUUAGAUUUGCUACAAGAAUUAACCGAUAUAGACAUAUUAAAUGAAUCAGAAGAAGGUGCAGAAGCCUUAAUUGAUGCUCUUUUUGAACAUCAAGUAAUAGCACUUUUAGUUCAAAAUCUUGAACGUCUAGAUGAGGCUGUUAAAGAAGAAGCUGAUGGUGUGCACAAUACAUUAGCAAUAAUCGAAAAUCUGACCGAAUUGCGGCCUGAAACAUGCAAUGAAGCCCAAAAACAAGGUCUUCUGCAGUGGCUCUUAAAACGAUUAAAACUUAAAGCACCUUUUGAUGUUAACAAACUAUAUGCAAGUGAACUUUUGUCAAUACUUUUGCAAGAUAAUAAUGGUAAUAGAAAUGCUUUAGGUGAGUUAGAUGGUAUAGACACCCUUCUGCAGCAGUUAGCAUUUUAUAAACGGCAUGACCCAAGUACAACUGAAGAGCAUGAACUGAUGGAAAAUCUUUUUAAUUGCCUUUGUAGUGCUUUAAUGGUGAGUGCAAACAGGGAACGUUUCCUACGGGGCGAGGGCCUUCAACUUAUGAACCUCAUGCUAAGAGAAAAGAAAACGUCUCGUAAUGGGUCUUUAAAAGUUCUUGAUUAUGCAAUGGCUGGUCCGCAAGGGAAAGAUAACUGCAACAAGUUCGUUGAUAUACUAGGGCUCCGCACGAUUUUUCCUUUAUUCAUGAAAACUCCCCGGAAAAACCGAAAAAAAGUACUUUCAGCAGAGGAGCAUGAAGAACACGUUACUUCUAUAAUAGCUUCAAUGUUACGCAAUUGUAGAGGCUCCCAACGACAAAGACUAAUUAGCAAGUUUACGGAAAAUGAUCACGAAAAAGUUGAUCGACUUAUGGAACUCCAUUUUAAAUAUUUGGAGAAGGUCGAAGCUCUAGAUGAAACACUAGACGAUAAUGAAGAAAAUCCAGACGCAAAUUAUCUGAAGAGACUUGAAGGGGGGUUAUUUACAUUACAAUUAGUGGACUAUAUUGUAGUAGAAGUGUGUGCUGCGGGACCCCCGAGCAUAAAACAACGCGUUAUGCAAAUUUUGAAUCUGAGAGGCGGCUCGGUGAAGACCAUCAGGCACGUUAUGAGAGAGUAUGCUGGUAACUUAGGGGACGAGGGAGAUCAGGAGUGGCGAGACCAAGAGCAACAACACAUUUUACACUUGGUUGAUAAGUUUUAAGAAAGUUGAUCCUCGGUUCUUCUCAGUUGAUAACUCGUUAUUUUAUUUAUGAAGCUUUUUCGUUUUUCUGUAUUUGAUGCUAAUUGAUGUAUGUAUUUCUUUAAAUUAUAAUUAUGUCAAACCAACAAUUGAUUGAAUAUGCAUUAUGUAAUGCAAACAUGCUAAUAUAAAAUAUCUUUUCCAAAUAAACAAGGAUAUGUUAAAUCAUGACGAUCAUCGCCCAGUACUUUCCAUUUGUUGUAGACACGAGUUCUGCCAACCGUACCGUCUUCUUACUUUAACUUUGCUAUUCCACGUAUAAUGCGAUUGUGUAUUAAGUAGUGCUUCAUUCUGUGUCGCUCUUCACGUCACUCAACUAAUUUAGUGUACAUGAGGAACUUACGUUAGAAUGAAAAGGCAAAGUAACAUCAGUAUCAUAAUAGGCAGGAGAUAUAUUACAAUACUACACAGUGUAGA